GAUGAACGCUGGCGGCGUGCCUAAUGCAUGCAAGUCGAGCGAACAGACGAGGAGCUUGCUCCUCUGACGUUAGCGGCGGACGGGUGAGUAACACGUGGAUAACCUACCUAUAAGACUGGGAUAACUUCGGGAAACCGGAGCUAAUACCGGAUAAUAUAUUGAACCGCAUGGUUCAAUAGUGAAAGACGGUUUUGCUGUCACUUAUAGAUGGAUCCGCGCCGCAUUAGCUAGUUGGUAAGGUAACGGCUUACCAAGGCAACGAUGCGUAGCCGACCUGAGAGGGUGAUCGGCCACACUGGAACUGAGACACGGUCCAGACUCCUGCGGGAGGCAGCAGUAGGGAAUCUUCCGCAAUGGGCGAAAGCCUGACGGAGCAACGCCGCGUGAGUGAUGAAGGUCUUCGGAUCGUAAAACUCUGUUAUUAGGGAAGAACAAAUGUGUAAGUAACUAUGCACGUCUUGACGGUACCUAAUCAGAAAGCCACGGCUAACUACGUG
rnacentral:rRNA from 1 species